rnacentral:rRNA from 1 species
GGUAUCCUGACCGUGCUAAGGUAGCAUAAUAGCUUGCCUUUUAAUUAAAGGCUUGUAUGAACGAACCAACGAGAGUUUGACUGUCUCCUAGAUAAACACGAAAUUUAACCUUUAUGUGAAAAGGCAUAAAUAAAACUAAAAGACAAAAAGACCCUGUCGAGCUUAAUUGCUAACCCCCCGAUAGAAAAAUAAUUUACUCUUUCCAGGAAAUAAACCAAUUUAGUUGGGGCAACAAGGGAACACCUAAACCUUCCCUUAUGAAAUUUAUUUUAAUCAAAAGACCCCCAAUCGGGCCAAAAGAUAAAAGCUACCGCAGGGAUAACAGGUUAAUUUUUCUCGAGAGUACACAUUAACAGAAAAGAUUGGCACCUCGAUGUUGGCUUAGGA